rnacentral:rRNA from 1 species
GCCAGACUCCUACGGGAGGCAGCAGUGGGGGAUAUUGCACAAUGGAGGGAACUCUGAUGCAGCGACGCCGCGUGAGGGAAGAGGGUUUUCGGAUUGUAAACCUCUGUCUUCGGUGACGAAACGAGACGGUAGCCGAGGAGGAAGCCACGGCUAACUACGUGCCAGCAGCCGCGGUAAUACGUAGGGAGCAAGCGUUGUCCGGAAUUACUGGGUGUAAAGGGAGCGUAGGCGGGAUGGCAAGUUGGGUGUUAAAUCUACCGGCUCAACUGGUAGUCGCACUCAAAACUGCUAUUCUUGAGUGAAGUAGAGGCAGGCGGAAUUCCUAGUGUAGCGGUGAAAUGCGUAGAUAUUAGGAGGAACACCAGUGGCGAAGGCGGCCUGCUGGGCUUUUACUGACGCUGAGGCUCGAAAGUGUGGGGAGCAAACAGGAUGAGAUACCCUAGUA